UUGCAAUCUGUGAUUUAUCAGAUAAGGGGAAGAGGUAUACAAGGUGGUAUACCAUCAACUAAACUAUUGUAUAAAGCAAUGGAAAUGAGUGAAAGGUUUGGAGAAGGAUGUCGUCUAGCCUUAUUGAAAGAACAUUUAGUUUUUGCCCUCGGUUAUAAAUAUUUUAAUCCAAGACCAAAUAUUGAAAUGCUUGAUUUAUCUUCACAACCACUCAAAUGGAAAUCAACUGACAUGGUGUCCUUCAAACUUAUUUUAGAUUUGUUUGUCGUAGAUGAUCGUGUAUAUGCUAUUGACGGUGCACUUGGUUUUGAUUAUUCAAAUGGUGCAGAGGUUUUUAACAGGAGUAUUCAAGAAUGGUGAUUAAUAUCUAAUAUGUCUACUGAGAGAGGGGACCCUGGUUUGAAUGCUAUAAUCCCAGCCUUGACACGUGGACACCAGUCACACAAAUGUCUAUAAAACGCCGAGCCCCUGUUAUAGGAGUCUUAGACGGUGUAAUGUAUGCUAUUGGUGGUGCCUGUCAGGAACUCGGAAGUUCAGUGUAUCUUAAAAGUGUCGAGACCUAUUCACCAAUUGCUAAAGUUUUGUCUCCUAUCUAAGAUAUGCACUUGUCCAGAUUCAAUUCAAGUGUUGUGACAUUUAAGGGUUUGUUGUAUGUUAUUGGCGGAUCUGAUGAAUUUUUGGAUUCCGUAGAAAUCUAUGACACUAAAACCAAUACCUGGAUCUUGGAACCAUGGCCGAAAAGUUUAGUGAAUGUUUAUGGGGCAGUAAUAUUUGAUAUGCCAUCACAUUUGAGAACAUAUUAGCUUAUACAUGGUCUCCUUGUUGGUUGUUGUAUAAUAUAUUAUAUUCAUAUUAAUUUAUAAUUCAUGAACACGUGUUAAGUAUUUUAUACAUUUUUGAUUUUGUGAAUUUUGUAAUAAGCCACUUUGAUCGCCACUGGACGUCAAAGUUUUAAUAUAAGUUUUAGCUUAUUAUAAUUAAUUUGUUUA